rnacentral:rRNA from 1 species
CCUCCUACGGGGCGCAGCAGUGAGGAAUAUUGGUCAAUGGGCGGGAGCCUGAACCAGCCAAGUCGCGUGAGGGAAGACUGCCCUAUGGGUUGUAAACCUCUUUUGUCAGGGAGCAACGCCGGCUACGUGCAGCCGGACUGAGAGUACCUGAAGAAAAAGCAUCGGCUAACUCCGUGCCAGCAGCCGCGGUAAUACGGAGGAUGCGAGCGUUAUCCGGAUUUAUUGGGUUUAAAGGGUGCGUAGGCGGAAUGCCAAGUCAGCGGUAAAAUCGCGGGGCUCAACCUCGCUCCGCCGUUGAAACUGGG